AUUGAUCCAGCCAGGCGCAACUUUGUAGGUUGAAGGUUCUUGUCCACGUUUUCGGCUUAAGAUGAAAUAUUCUACAAUUUUCUUCAAUUUUUUCUGGAUGCUCUUAGUUUUUUCUUACGCGGCAAUGGGUUUAAGCGGGAGUAGUCGGUGUGGCCUGCUGAAAGAUUGUACAACCGAUGUUUGCAAUACUGCUUGCACGAAGGCUUAUGGCCCGGGGACUCGGUGUACAUGUGCCGAGCCAAACGUUUGUUGUUGCAUUUAAACGGCAAAUGUUAUUUAAUUAAUUAUAAGUUUAUUGUAAUCUCCAUCACAUGAGAAUUUAAUAAAUGAAUUCUUGGUGUUGUCUUUUGAUGAUUAUUAAUUUAAUAUGUGUUUUUUGUC